UGGGGAAUAUUGGACAAUGGGCGCAAGCCUGAUCCAGCCAUGCCGCGUGUGUGAAGAAGGCCUUUUGGUUGUAAAGCACUUUAAGCGAGGAGGAGGCUACUUGGAUUAAUACUCUAGGAUAGUGGACGUUACUCGCAGAAUAAGCACCGGCUAACUCUGUGCCAGCAGCCGCGGUAAUACAGAGGGUGCGAGCGUUAAUCGGAUUUACUGGGCGUAAAGCGUGCGUAGGCGGCUUCUUAAGUCGGAUGUGAAAUCCCUGAGCUUAACUUAGGAAUUGCAUUCGAUACUGGGAAGCUAGAGUAUGGGAGAGGAUAGUAGAAUUCCAGGUGUAGCGGUGAAAUGCGUAGAGAUCUGGAAGAAUACCGAUGGCGAAGGCAGCCAUCUGGCCUAAUACUGACGCUGAGGUACGAAAGCAUGGGGAGCAAACAGG
rnacentral:rRNA from 1 species